rnacentral:misc_RNA from 1 species
UUUAAAUGCCAAAAAUUCAAAAUUAAUAAAUCCAGCCAUUUAGCCAGUUAUUCUCAGCAGUUGAGAGAAUUUCAGUACAUUUGAUGCUAUUUCUAGUGGCUUUUCCUUUUUCAAGUUUAUUUUAGGAGUAAGCAGCAGUUCAAACAACACCUAGACUGUGAAAUAUGAGUCUUUAGGAUUUUGUUGCAUGAAAUCUCUCUCUCUCUGUUUUUAUGAUUUUAUGUUCUAUCAUAUCUGAACUUCCAGAAUGAUUUCUGAUUUGCCUACUCAAGAAAUUUAAAUUUUGACCAUAUACGUCAGGAAGUAGCAGGAAAGCCAAAACUAGCUUUUGCAGAUAGACACCUUCCAAGA